UCCGUCCUCUUCUUUAGAGUCAGCACACCAGCUUCCCCUUGUGUGAUAGCAUCUAAGGCUGGAGUCCUAGGGAACGCUUAGUUACUUCAGGCAAUUACUCGACAACUACCAAAAGCGAUUGUGAGAAGCCUGCUUCCAGCAUCCGUUCCCUACCUCGGGAUGGACAGACGGACACCACUUGAUGCCUUGCCCGCCAGGGGAAGGGGAAAACUACUGGACAGGGAACCCCACCGCAGCCCCCCUCCUGUGAGUCCUGCAGAGCAGUUUAAUAAAGUUUGCUUUCUGACCUGCA